UACAGAGGGUGCGAGCGUUGUUCGGAAUUAUUGGGCGUAAAGCGCUGGUAGGUGGCUUGUUAAGUCGCGUGUGAAAGCUCCAGGCUCAACCUGGAAAGUGCGCGCGAAACUGGCGAGCUUGAGUGCCGGAGAGGGUCGCGGAAUUCCCGGUGUAGAGGUGAAAUUCGUAGAUAUCGGGAGGAACACCAGAGGCGAAGGCGGCGACCUGGAAGGUAACUGACACUGAGCAGCGAAAGCGUGGGGAGCAAACAGG
rnacentral:rRNA from 1 species